GAUGAACGCUGGCGGCGUGCCUAAUACAUGCAAGUCGAGCGAACAGACGAGGAGCUUUCUCCUCUGACGUUAGCGGCGGACGGGUGAGUAACACGUGGAUAACCUACCUAUAAGACUGGGAUAACUUCGGGAAACCGGAGCUAAUACCGGAUAAUAUAUUGAACCGCAUGGUUCAAUAGUGAAAGACGGUUUUGCUGUCACUUAUAGAUGGAUCCGCGCCGCAUUAGCUAGUUGGUAAGGUAACGGCUUACCAAGGCAACGAUGCGUAGCCGACCUGAGAGGGUGAUCGGCCACACUGGAACUGAGACACGGUCCAGACUCCUACGGGAGGCAGCAGUAGGGAAUCUUCCGCAAUGGGCGAAAGCCUGACGGAGCAACGCCGCGUGAGUGAUGAAGGUCUUCGGAUCGUAAAACUCUGUUAGUAGGGAAGAACAAAUGUGUAAGUAACUAUGCACGUCUUGACGGUACCUAAUCAGAAAGCCACGGCUAACUACGUG
rnacentral:rRNA from 1 species